UAGAGCCUACGGGGCGCAGCAGUGGGGAAUAUUGCACAAUGGGGGGAACCCUGAUGCAGCGACGCCGCGUGGGUGAAGGAGCACCUCGGUGCGUAAAGCCCUAUCGGCAGGGAAGAAACAGACGGUACCUGACUAAGAAGCCCCGGCUAACUACGUGCCAGCAGCCGCGGUAAUACGUAGGGGGCAAGCGUUAUCCGGAUUCAUUGGGCGUAAAGCGCGCGCAGGCGGGGCGCUAAGCGGGACC
rnacentral:rRNA from 1 species